rnacentral:rRNA from 1 species
GACGAACGCUGGCGGCGUGCCUAAUACAUGCAAGUAGACCUUAGUGGCGAACGGGUGAGUAACACGUGGGUAACCUGCCCAUCAGAAGGGGAUAACGCAUGGAAACAGGUGCUAAUGCCGUAUACUGAUGGAUGGACCCGCGGUGCAUUAGCCAGUUGGUGAGGUAAGAGCUCACCAAGGCCACGAUGCAUAGCCGACCGGAGCGGGGAAUCGGCCACAUUGCAAGUGAGACACGGCCCAAACUCCUACGGGAGGCAGCAAUAGGGAAGCUUCGGCAAUGGACGAAAGUCUGACCGAGCAACGCCGCGGGAGUGAAGAAGGUUUUCGGAUCGGAAAGCUCUGUUGUUAGAGAAGCGGGAUAUAACCAGAAAGCCACGGCUAACGACGUGCGAGCAGCCGCGAUAAUAC